UCCGGUUUGUCACCGGCGGUCUCCUUAGAGUUCCCACCAUUACGUGCUGGCAACAAAGGACAAGGGUUGCGCUCGUUACGGGACUUAACCCAACAUCUCACGACACGAGCUGACGACAGCCAUGCAGCACCUGUCACUCAGUUCCCGAAGGCACCAAUCCAUCUCUGGAAAGUUCUCGACAUGUCAAGGCCAGGUAAGGUGGGGAUGACGUUGUCGGAUUCUAAG
rnacentral:misc_RNA from 1 species